AUACAGGGGGAUAACACUUAGAAAUAGGUGCUAAUACCGCAUAAGCGCACGGUUCCGCAUGGAACAGUGUGAAAAACUCCGGUGGUAUACGAUGGAUCCGCGUCUGAUUAGCCAGUUGGUGGGGUAACGGCCCACCAAAGCGACGAUCAGUAGCCGGCCUGAGAGGGUGAACGGCCACAUUGGGACUGAGACACGGCCCAAACUCCUACGGGAGGCAGCAGUGGGGAAUAUUGCACAAUGGGGGAAACCCUGAUGCAGCGACGCCGCGUGAGUGAAGAAGUAUUUCGGUACGUAAAGCUCUAUCAGCAGGGAAGAAAAAAAGUCCUUUGGACUUUGGACGGUACCUGACCAAGAAGCCCCGGCUAACUACGUGCCAGCAGCCGCGGUAAUACGUAGGGGGCAAGCGUUAUCCGGAUUUACUGGGUGUAAAGGGAGCGUAGACGGCAGCGCAAGUCUGGAGUGAAAUGCCGGGGCCCAACCCCGGAACUGCUUUGGAAACUGUGCAGCUCGAGUGCAGGAGAGGUAAGCGGAAUUUCUAGUGUAGCGGUGAAAUGCGUAGA
rnacentral:rRNA from 1 species